GCAAGUCGAGCGGACAGAAGGGAGCUUGCUCCCGGAUGUUAGCGGCGGACGGGUGAGUAACACGUGGGUAACCUGCCUGUAAGACUGGGAUAACUCCGGGAAACCGGAGCUAAUACCGGAUAGUUCCUUGAACCGCAUGGUUCAAGGAUGAAAGACGGUUUCGGCUGUCACUUACAGAUGGACCCGCGGCGCAUUAGCUAGUUGGUGGGGUAAUGGCUCACCAAGGCGACGAUGCGUAGCCGACCUGAGAGGGUGAUCGGCCACACUGGGACUGAGACACGGCCCAGACUCCUACGGGAGGCAGCAGUAGGGAAUCUUCCGCAAUGGACGAAAGUCUGACGGAGCAACGCCGCGUGAGUGAUGAAGGUUUUCGGAUCGUAAAGCUCUGUUGUUAGGGAAGAACAAGUGCGAGAGUAACUGCUCGCACCUUGACGGUACCUAACCAGAAAGCCACGGCUAACUACGUGCCAGCAGCCGCGGUAAUACGUAGGUGGCAAGCGUUGUCCGGAAUUAUUGGGCGUAAAGGGCUCGCAGGCGGUUUCUUAAGUCUGAUGUGAAAGCCCCCGGCUCAACCGGGGAGGGUCAUUGGAAACUGGGAAACUUGAGUGCAGAAGAGGAGAGUGGAAUUCCACGUGUAGCGGUGAAAUGCGUAGAGAUGUGGAGGAACACCAGUGGCGAAAGCGACUCUCUGGUCUGUAACUGACGCUGAGAGCGAAAGCGUGGGGAGCGAACAGAUUAAUACCCUGGGUAGUCCACGCCGUAACGAUGAGUGCUAAGUGUUAGGGGGGGUGUCCGCCCCUUUAGUGCUGCAGCUAACGCAUUAAGCACCUCCGCCUGGGGGAGGUACGGUCGCGAGGACUGGAGACUCAUAUGAUUGACUGGGGCCCGCCACAGCGGUGGAGCAUGUGGUUAUUCGAAGCAACGGCGAAGAACCUUACCAGGUCUU
rnacentral:rRNA from 1 species